rnacentral:rRNA from 1 species
UACCGCGUCGGCGACGUGCUCCGCGUGGCGGGUUACCACAACGCCGCUCCACGGUUCACGUUCGUGCGCCGCAAGAACGUGCUGGUCUCCAUCGAAUCUAACAAGACCGACGAGGUCGAGCUGCAGCACGCCGUGGAGCGGGCCUCGGACCUGCUUCGGCCUCAUGGCGCGUCCGUGGCGGAGUACACCAGCCACGCAUGCACCAAGCGCAUCCCGGGGCACUACAUCAUCUACUGGGAGCUGCUGACCACCGGCAACGAGGCGGUGAGCAAGGAGACCCUCGACAGGUGCUGCCUGGAGAUGGAGGAGGCCCUGAACGCGGUCUACAAGCAGAGCCGGGUGGCGGAUGGGUCGGUCGGGCCGCUCGAGAUCCUGUCCUCCGGCCCGGCACCUUCAAGGAGCUCAUGUACGACGCCAUCUCUUGCGGCGCGUCCAUCAACCAGUACAAGGUGCCCCGUUGCGCCGCGCUCCCGCCCAUCAUUGAGCUGCUCGACUCGUGUGUCGUGUCUGCCCACUUCAGCCCUAGCUUGUCACACUGGACCCCAGCGCGGAGCCACGGCUAGAAGGAGGCAGCUGGUCGGGUCAUGCUCACCGAUGUUUGGGGUGAUUGACUUUGUUGGGUAUGGGAGGUGCUUCCCGUGGCCUUGA